rnacentral:rRNA from 1 species
AGUGAACGCUGGCGGUAGGCCUAACACAUGCAAGUCGAACGGCAGCACAGUAAGAGCUUGCUCUUACGGGUGGCGAGUGGCGGACGGGUGAGGAAUACAUCGGAAUCUACUUUUUCGUGGGGGAUAACGUAGGGAAACUUACGCUAAUACCGCAUACGACCUACGGGUGAAAGCAGGGGAUCUUCGGACCUUGCGCGAUUGAAUGAGCCGAUGUCGGAUUAGCUAGUUGGCGGGGUAAAGGCCCACCAAGGCGACGAUCCGUAGCUGGUCUGAGAGGAUGAUCGGCCACACUGGAACUGAGACACGGUCCAGACUCCUACGGGAGGCAGCAGUGGGGAAUAUUGGACAAUGGGCGCAAGCCUGAUCCAGCCAUACCGCGUGGGUGAAGAAGGCCUUCGGGUUGUAAAGCCCCUUUGUUGGGAAAGAAAAGCAGCAGGUUAAUACCCCGCUGUUCUGACGGUACCCAAAGAAUAAGCACCGGCUAACUUCGUG